rnacentral:lncRNA from 10 species
AUUCACUCUCGUCUUCAGCCAUACUGUGGCUGGUCUAGGAUGCCUGCCUGGUAGAGUAAUCCAGACCAUCAUUGAGAAGGCCAAGGCUUUGGUUACCAAUUCUUGUUGCUGCAAUCACUCAUUUAUGAUUAUCAGCAGGUAUGGGAAGCGCCAUGAAGUAUUCGCAGGGAAUUCCUGAAUUUCGGAUAUUUUCCUCCCUGCCCUCAUUUUGCAGGAGCAACUUUAUCUCCUAAUAAUAAUCAAGGUUAAUUGCAUCUUCCAGUACAAAUACUUUUUCCUUUGCCUGCCUAUCUACUGGCCAGAGGAUCCCAAAAUGACCAGUCAGAUGCAGACGUAGUGGAAACUGACAUGUCCUCUGUGUUAAGAACCUCAAGAACCAGAACCUCUAAGUGAAGUAAAGGCAGAAGUUGCUGGGACAGUAAACGUAAGUGAGUUACUGGGAGUGAUGGAACCAUAGCAGCUGAAUGUCCUGAAGGAAUAUUAUUGGGCUUUGGGAUGUUUCAAAAACUCUCACAGAGAAGAUGGUCCAAUUGUCAUCAGAGCUAGGUUCCAGCUUAAAUUUACUCAGGUCACUGAAUCUUGGGCCACACUGCUAGUAAGUGGGAAAGCAGAGAUUCAAGCCUCACUCCUCUGAGACAAGGAUGCUUACGGAACACAUUAGGAUGGAGCCUCUGUGGAUCUGGAUCUGGUCCCUGAGUGACUCCACAUGUGCUGAGCCACACUGGACCUGGAGCACGAAGGAGAAACACACUUUUGCUGAUUUAAGCCACUGAGAUUCUGGGAUCAUUACCUCAACAUUACCUGGACUAUCCUGAUUGGUCCUAGGGCCUUGCCACAUCUGGGAUACAAAUGUAAAAUUUAAAGAAAUAAUCCCAGUCAAAUCGAGGUGAAUGAAAGAGGGCUUCUUAGAAUAAAUGUUUUAGUGAAAUCCUUAAAAAAAAAAGACUAAGAAUAAGAGAUGGCAUUACUAAUGGAAGAACUACUAUUUCAUAUGGCUAGCUUAAUUUGAAAUAUGGCUAAGAAUCAGGUGGUCAAUAAUAACAACACGAUGUUUUUAGACAAUAUUAAAAUGCAAAUUUCUCAUAUACUAUAAUGCUUGAAAUGGCUUUAGAGGAAAUCAAGUCCUUACCUGUAUUUCUAUGAGGCUUAUAUAUUACAUGAAGACAGAAAUAAAAAGCCCUAACACUCAG